rnacentral:rRNA from 1 species
AUUGAACGCUGGCGGCAGGCCUAACACAUGCAAGUCGAACGAGUGGCGGACGGGUGAGUAAUGUCUGGGAAACUGCCUGAUGGAGGGGGAUAACUACUGGAAACGGUAGCUAAUACCGCAUACCAUCAGAUGUGCCCAGAUGGGAUUAGCUUGUUGGUGGGGUAACGGCUCACCAAGGCGACGAUCCCUAGCUUGUCUGAGAGGAUGACCAGCCAAACUGGAACUAAGAGACGGACCAGACUCAUACGGUAGGCAGCAGUGGGGAAUAGUGCACAAUGGGCGCAAGCCUGAGGCAGCCAUGCGGCGUAUAUGAAGAAGGCCUUCAGGUUGUAAAGUACUUUCAGCGGGGAGGCGUUACCCGCAGAAGAAGCACCGGCUGACUCCGUGCCAGCAGCCGCGGUAAUUC